rnacentral:rRNA from 1 species
GUGCCAGCAGCCGCGGUAAUACGUAGGUGGCAAGCGUUAUCCGGAAUUAUUGGGCGUAAAGCGCGCGUAGGCGGUUUUUUAAGUCUGAUGUGAGAGCCCACGGCUCAACCGUGGAGGGUCAUUGGAACCUGGAAAACUUGAGUGCAGAAGAGGAAAGUGGAAUUCCAUGUGUAGCGGUGAAAUGCGCAGAGAUAUGGAGGAACACCAGUGGCGAAGGCGACUUUCUGGUCUGUAACUGACGCUGAUGUGCGAAAGCGUGGGGAUCAAACA